rnacentral:lncRNA from 1 species
UCAUUAUUUGGUCCAUCACUUGGGGCCUGGGGUGAGACAGUGCGUCAUGACAGGAGAAUUCAGUGCAGCAAAACAUAUCAUGGCCACAACGGAGAAAAGGAAAAAAAAGUACCCGGCAUCUCAGAGUACCUUUUGAGGGUCUGCCUUCAAUCACCCUAGGACCGACCACUGGGCCGCACCUAUUAGAGGUUCCACUCCCUCCUAAGGGCACCACUCAGUGUGUCACAUUUUUAACACACAGAACUUUGAGGGACAUUUAAUAUCCGCACACUAUGAUCUGGCAAUAUUAAAUAUAAAAUUUUAGGAAAAAAACCCAGCUCACAAAUUUUAAAUUGUAUGGUGCUCUGGGUAGUGUGGUGGAAAAUUAUACCACCCAUUCUGCUCUAACCUUUCCCGGCAUCUCUGCUCUGUAUCCACCACCCUUAGCCGCUCGGUAGCCAUCAAAAUUCUCAGUUCAGCUGUGGAGGUAUCACAGUGCUUAUGUGCCAGCAAUCCUUAUCGUGUUCAGUAAUAGCCCCGGAGCAAAGGGUCAUCUAUGUGGGGGAUCCGGUCAAGCCACAGAGACCACUCAACCUGCUUCCUUUAAAUGAAAAGGUGAAAGUUCUCAGCCAAGAAAGAAACAGAAAUGUAAGCUGAGGUUGCUAAGAUACAGAGUAAACACAGAUCCUCCCAUGAGACUAGCAAGAGGAAAAAAGGCAACUCACACUUUAGUUUUCUGUUCAGGUUGCAAAUUGCACAAGUUACAGUCGCAGUGUGGGGUAGGAGUGUUAUCAUCAGCUUCACUUCACCUUAUCAGGUCGGUGUCACGUGGGUGCCGCAUCAUCUCAUCUCAUCGCAGGAGAAAAGGGGCAGAGAACACGAAUUGGUGGUCCCAUGCCAAAUGGUCAGCCAUGAGGAAAACAAACAGGUUCUCUUGCGAUGGACAACUUGUGCCUUGUGCUGUUGUAGGUUGUGGUGCAUUUUACAAUCAAGAGCCGAUAGCAAAUCAUUAUCAGCAGUCGUCUGCCAUUUGCAUCAGCCCCCAUUCUUUGUGUUACAUUCAUUGUGCUAUGAGCUUUGACCAAGGUGUAAUCACAGGUGCCCGCUGAAUGGUUCAGAAUCUGCAGCUCUGAGAUGCGUUGCCCUGGUGUAGGGAUUAUUGGGAGCUGAAGCAAGCUCAGGCAGCACUCACUUCCAAGCUGCCCCCGUUGCCUAAACACAGUAAUAAAUCUCACUGGUAGAGGUUUUCUCUUCUCCUAAAUGAAGAGGAGAAUAAGUCUCGAAUUUUACAGUGGGUGGGACUUGAACUGAAGGAAUUUCACUAGAGAACCUGUUAUCUAUUUUCCAGUUGCCUCCUUUUGACUCUGCCCCCAUUCCUUGUGUGCUCCCUUCUCUCCCCAACCCCCUGCAUACACAUUGGUGGGUUUGACCCCCUCUGUUAGUUUUACUUGUUUUCUGUGGAGCCCCUGCUCACAUAAGAAUAUAAACUAUACUUUUACGACUUCUCUCUUAAUAACCUCUCUAUCUUUAGUCUACUUAAUUUUUCAGGUUCCAUUCAGAGAACUGUAGGGAAUAAAGGAGCAU